CUGUUUUGGCCCGGCCGUAGUGAGUUUCUUUAUGUGCACCAUUUAAUGGACCGCAUUGGCUAUACAGGCAUAUGGCCACUCAACUCCAAGCUGUACUUUCCAUAGAUUUCAAGUUAUAGAAUAGUGUGUGUCUGAAGCUGUCUCCGAGAUACAUACACGGCCAUGGUGCCGCCAUCGCUCCAAGCCGAUGACAUUGCACACGCUUCACUCCUACCCGAUUUCAGUUUUUCUCCAGGUCAAAUAGUAGUGUCAGGAAAUCGAGUAGAGGUAAUAAGUGAGCGGUCGUAGGCUCAGAGCAGUGACUCUGCCAAGGCCUUGUAUCCUGGAGGCAGCCUCAGAUCCACUCUAGUACAUAACUUGAAUUCUAUGGAAAGUACUGCUUUGACAGUUCACCAAGUGGCCACGUGUGGCACUGCCUGUAUAGCCAAUACGGUCCAUUCUGCAUGUUUUCAUAUAUAAUACAUGAUGAUUAUGUUGAGCGUAUGGCUGAAAACUUGUUAUAUUCAAUAGCGACAUUUGAAAUUUGGCGCGCGUGGCGAUCCCGGAUAUGGCACGGGGCGCUGUUUUGGCCCGGCCGUAGUGAAGGGGUUAAGAGUGAAGAUACAGGCCAAUUCUUGCAUUAAUAAGUUGGACAGCACAAGACAGCUGAUAGGUCCAGGCACCCAACAGGAACAAAAAACACCAUGACUCUUGCAUUAAUAAGUUGGACAGCACAAGACAGCUGAUAGGUCCAGGCACCCAACAGGAACAAAAAACACCAUGACUCUUGCAUUAAUAAGUUGGACAGCACAAGACAGCUGAUAGGUCCAGGCACCCAACAGGAACAAAAAACACCAUGACUCUUGCAUUAAUAAGUUGGACAGCACAAGACAGCUGAUAGGUCCAGGCACUCAACAGGAACAAAAAACACCAUGACUCUUGCAUUAAUAAGUUGGACAGCACAAGACAGCUGAUAGGUCCAGGCACCCAACAGGAACAAAAAACACCAUGACUCUUGCAUUAAUAAGUUGGACAGCACAAGACAGCUGAUAGGUCCAGGCACUCAACAGGAACAAAAAACACCAUGACUCUUGCAUUAAUAAGUUGGACAGCACAAGACAGCUGAUAGGUCCAGGCACUCAACAGGAACAAAAAACACCAUGACUCUUGCAUUAAUAAGUUGGACAGCACAAGACAGCUGAUAGGUCCAGACACUCAACAGGAACAAAAAACACCAUUACUCCUGCAUUAGUUUUUUAAUCAGACACUCUAAAAAGAUGAUAGUGAAAACACCACUUAACUCUCACAUCAUUAAGUUGGACAGCACAGGACAUAGGGAAAGCAUGAGAGAAUGAAGGUAUACCGGAUAACUCUUGCAACAUUAAGUGGGACAG